rnacentral:rRNA from 1 species
GAUGAACGCUAGCUACAGGCUUAACACAUGCAAGUCGAGGGGUAGCAGGGUAGCAAUACCGCUGACGACCGGCGCACGGGUGAGUAACACGUAUCCAACCUUCCCAUAACUCGGGGAUAGCCUUUCGAAAGAAAGAUUAAUACCCGAUAGUACUUUUUCAAGGCAUCUUGAGAAAGUUAAAGAUUUAUUGGUUAUGGAUGGGGAUGCGUUCCAUUAGAUAGUUGGUGAGGUAACGGCUCACCAAGUCUUCGAUGGAUAGGGGUUCUGAGAGGAAGGUCCCCCACAUUGGUACUGAGACACGGACCAAACUCCUACGGGAGGCAGCAGUGAGGAAUAUUGGUCAAUGGGCGAGAGCCUGAGCCAGCCAAGUAGCGUGAAGGAUGAAGGUCCUAUGGAUUGUAAACUUCUUUUAUAGUAGAAUAAAGUGAUCAACGUGUGGAUUUUUGUAUGUAUACUAUGAAUAAGGAUCGGCUAACUCCGUGCCAGCCGCCGCAGUAAUAC